GUGGUCUACUGAUUGUCAUCUAUUCACCUAUGUGACACUCCUCUUGUUUUAUAUACAUUGAUACCAGACUCUUUCCAGCACUCUCACAUAUAACGUGAUCAAACAUGUUCACAUUUCUCUUCACUGUUACUGUCUCACUGCUCUGUGCUGCAGGUCUUGUUGAGGGGAGUGAAGUCACUCAGACACCCACCAUACUCUGGGAACUGAAAGACAGUGAUGCUCAGAUUAACUGCAGUCACACUAAGGGAGCUACCUACUACCAGAUGUACUGGUACAGACAGCUUCCAGGAGAGGGAAUGAAGCAGGUAGUCUUCAUUACUCCCAGUUCUCAACCUGACUAUUCAGGGGAAUUCAGUAAAGACAAAUUCUCAGCCAGCAAGGCUGUAGCUGAGAGUGGAUCUUUCACAGUGAAGAAGUUGGAGACAGGAGACAGUGGAAUGUACUUCUGUGCUGUGAGUGAACACAGUGAUACAGACAACAAGUACAGCUGCACAAAAACCCCAGUAUUUCAACAGGAUGUAACAUAA